CCCUUAGAUGUCCUGGGCCGCACGCGCGCUACACUGAGUGUCUGAGAUACGAGUCUGCCUGGUCCGGCAAGGUCUAGGUAAUCGCUAAAAGACACAUCAUGCUUGGGAUAGAUUAUUGCAAAUAUUAAUCUUCAACGAGGAAUGCCUAGUAGGCGCAAGUCAUCAGCUUGCGUCGAUUACGUCCCUGCCCUUUGUACACACCGCCCGUCGCUCCUACCGAUUGGGUGUGCUGGUGAAAUGUUCGGAUCGGCCGUUUGUCGCGGUUUCCGCGGCUCGUGGCUGAGAAGUUCAUUAAACCCUCCCACCUAGAGGAAGGAGAAGUCGUAACA
rnacentral:rRNA from 1 species